rnacentral:rRNA from 1 species
UAAUACGUAGGGUCCAAGCGUUGUCCGGAUUUAUUGGGCGUAAAGAGCUCGUAGGCGGUUUCGUAAGUCGGAUGUGAAAACUCAGGGCUCAACCCGGAGACGCCAUCUGAUACUGCGAUGACUUGAGUCUGGUAGGGGAACACGGAAUUCCUGGUGUAGCGGUGAAAUGCGCAGAUAUCAGGAGGAACACCGAUGGCGAAGGCAGUGUUCUGGGCCAGUACUGACGCUGAGGAGCGAAAGCGUGGGGAGCAAACAGGAUUAGAUACCCUGGUAGUCCACGCCGUAAACGUUGGGCACUAGGUGUGGGUCCUCAUCAACGGGAUCCGUGCCGUAGCUAACGCAUUAAGUGCCCCGCCUGGGGAGUACGGCCGCAAGGCUA